GCAGGCGAGGACGAGAAACAUGAAGGCGCCGCGAAAGCGAAGCCAUGCAAAGGGGGAAAAGAAUCGGCGAAUAAAACCACAAAAGCUCUCAAAUAACCGCCCGUUCCUCUCAGAAACAACACAAGAGACGCUUUAAAGUUCCUGGAGAUCCAUCCCAUGCCGAUCUGGGCUAUUUUCCACCAGUUUUGCUCAUUUAUUCACACCCUCCCCCCCCCCUCCAGUCACCGAAGGCCUCUUGUUUUUGUUCGACUGAGGCGAUUUUUUUCCCCCCGUCUCUCUCGCAUCUUCUGGAAUUUUCUCGACGGCUCCCGAGGUAAAAGUCGGAGUUAAAAACCGGCGGAGGUGGGGCGCGAGAGAUGGAAGAACAAGACUUAAAAGAGCACCUCCUGAUGAUCAUGAAUGGAACUACAUAUUCCAAAAUUAAUUCUUCCUGAUGUGUGUAAAUGUAAAAGCAUUUCUACCAAGUUCUACAAUGGCUAAUUAAAUUUGUCACAUUCAGUUAAAUGCAUGUGGGUCUAAAAUUUUACUUUUAAGGUAUUAUUUAAUCCGCUAUUCUAAAUCUCCAACAGAACUGCACAGGGGGAAAUAAUUAUAGUUGUCAGAUGAAGUCGUUUUAAAGAGUGAAGGGUAAUUGGACCUGGCUUUGUAUAUAAUUCUGACCCCAUCUUUGAAGUCAAGCUUACAAAUUCAUAAACUUAUUUCUAAUGGCAGCUUUCAUUGUAAACUUGACCUUGUUAUAAUUAUAACAUGUACAGUGGUGCCAUUACUAUGCAUUUCCUGGUAGGAGACUACAGUUACAGCAUUACCUGCUUAAAUGUAUAAUUUCCAUUAUAAGUAUGGACAAAUUAUUAUGGAGAAAUUUGGAAGCAAGUGUAAUCUUUUUAAACUUAAUCCUUGUCCCUACUCUCUGUCCUGUGAGUUGACUUCCAUGUUCAACUCUAUCCCAAAGACUCAAGGCAGCAGAAAACAAGAGCUCGCAUGUUUUUAAGAUUACUUUAUUCUGAGGCUUCUGAUCCGUGGGUAUCAGCAUCAAUUUCAUGAAGAUCUUUGCUUCAUCAAGCUCCCAUUGUCGUACAGAUAAUUCACACCAAUAACAUUGGUGGAAGUUGUGUCUAAAUGUGUAUGUUUUUAUUGUGAGAUGUGGAAUUCCACCUCUGUGUCAAACUUCCCAUGUACAACACUGGUUCUGUAAUGGUGUAGUUAAAGAGAUGGAUUUUUCUAAUGUAUGAACUGAAAUUUAUAUGAAUGUUUGUUUAAAAACUAAAUGAAUAUCAAAGUAUUUGAAUAAUACCAUUUUGAUAAACUCAGUGUAAGUACCCGAUUAUGCUUGGGAGAUCUGAAUCAUUUGUAUAAAAAUAAUAAAUGUGGAAUUUUUCAAUAUUCCUUCCAACUAAAAUGA